rnacentral:rRNA from 1 species
GACAGAGGAUGCAAGCGUUAUCCGGAAUGAUUGGGCGUAAAGCGUCUGUAGGUGGCUUUUUAAGUCCGCCGUCAAAUCCCAGGGCUCAACCCUGGACAGGCGGUGGAAACUACCAAGCUGGAGUACGGUAGGGGCAGAGGGAAUUUCCGGUGGAGCGGUGAAAUGCGCAGAUAUCAGGAGGAACACCAAUUGCGAAGGCAGCUCGCUGGGACGUUACUGACGCUGAGACGCGAAAGCGUGGGGAGCAAACAGG